AGCGAACGCUGGCGGCAGGCCUAACACAUGCAAGUCGGGCGGCCGUAGCAAUACGGCAGCGGCAGACGGGAGAGUAACACGUGGGAACGCGCCCUUCGGUUCGGGAUAACUCAGGGAAACUUGAGCUAAUACCGGAUACGCCCUUACGGGGGAAGAUUUAUUGCCGAAGGAACGGCCCGCGUCCGAUUAGCUUGUUGGUGAGGUAACGGCUCACCAAGGCGACGAUCGGUAGCUGGUCUGAGAGGAUGACCAGCCUCACUGGGACUGAGACACGGCCCAGACUCCUACGGGAGGCAGCAGUGGGGAAUAUUGUACAAUGGGCGCAAGCCUGAUCCAGCCAUGCCGCGUGGGUGAUGAAGGCCCUAGGGUUGUAAAGCCCUUUCAGCGGGGAAGAUAAUGACGGUACCCGCAGAAGAAGCCCCGGCUAACUUCGUGCCAGCCGCCGCCGUAAGAC
rnacentral:rRNA from 1 species